GACGAACGCUGGCGGCGUGCUUAACACAUGCAAGUCGAACGGAAAGGCCCUGCUUUUGUGGGGUGCUCGAGUGGCGAACGGGUGAGUAACACGUGAGUAACCGGCCCUUGACUUUGGGAUAACUUCAGGAAACUGGGGCUAAUACCGGAUAGGAGCUCCGGCUGCAGGGUGGGGGUUGGAAAGUUUCGGCGGUUGGGGAUGGACUCGCGGCUUAUCAGCUUGUUGGUGGGGUAGUGGCUUACCAAGGCUUUGACGGGUAGCCGGCCUGAGAGGGUGACCGGCCACAUUGGGACUGAGAUACGGCCCAGACUCCUACGGGAGGCAGCAGUGGGGAAUAUUGCACAAUGGGCGGAAGCCUGAUGCAGCAACGCCGCGUGCGGGAUGACGGCCUUCGGGUUGUAAACCGCUUUCGCCUGUGACGAAGCGUGAGUGACGGUAAUGGGUAAAGAAGCACCGGCUAACUACGUG
rnacentral:rRNA from 1 species